UUCCGGUUGAUCCUGCCAGAGGUUACUGCUAUCGGGGUCCGACUAAGCCAUGCGAGUUGAGAGGGGUAAGCCCUCGGCAUACUGCUCAGUAACACGCGGAUAACCUGCCCUUGGGUCUGGGAUAACCCCGGGAAACUGGGACUAAUACCGGAUAGAUCAGAGAAACUGGAAUGUUCUCUGGUUCAAAACUCCGGUGCCCAAGGAUGGGUCUGCGGCCUAUCAGGUAGUAGUGGGUGUAACGUACCUACUAGCCAGCGACGGGUAAGGGUUGUGAGAGCAAGAUCCCUGAGAUGGAUUCUGAGACAUGAAUCCAGGCCCUACGGGGUGCAGCAGGCGCGAAAACUUUACACUGCGGGAAACCGCGAUAAGGGGACCCCGAGUGCCAGCACCUAGUGCUGGCUGUCCUACUGUCUAAAUAACAGUGGUUAGCAAGGGCCGGGCAAGACCGGUGCCAGCCGCCGCGGUAACACCGGCGGCCCGAGUGGUAACCGUUUUUAUUGGGUUUAAAGGGUCCGUAGCCGGCUUACUAAGUCUCUUGGGAAAUCUGGCGGCUCAAUCGUCAGGCGGCCAAGAGAUACUGGUAGGCUUGGGACCGGGAGAGGUGGGAGGUACUCCAGGGGUAGGGGUGAAAUCUCGUAAUCCUUGGGGGACCACCGAUGGCGAAGGCAUCCCACCAGAACGGGUCCGACGGUGAGGGACGAAAGCUGGGGGCACGAACCGGAUUAGAUACCCGGGUAGUCCCAGCUGUAAACGAUGCUCGCUAGGUGUCAGGUGCGGUGCGACCGCAUCUGGUGCCGCAGUGAAAACUUGAAGCGAGUCACCUGGGAAGUACGGUCGCAAGGCUGAAACUUAAAGGAAUUGGCGGGGGAGCACUACAACGGGUGGAGCCUGCGGUUCAAUUGGAUUCAACGCCGGG
rnacentral:rRNA from 1 species